rnacentral:lncRNA from 1 species
AAACCGCGGCGCGCGAGGGGCGCAGGGGGCGGGGCCGGCGCGCGCCCCGGAGGACGCAGAGCGGGCUCGCGGCUUCGAUGAGGGGUGAGGGCAAGCAAGCAUGAGGGGAGACACGUGGGAACACGGGGCGCAAGCGGUGGGAGAAGAGGGGAGGUGGCGGGGGUGACCUGCGUGGGGGCUACCCGGGCCUCAGACUCCCGUCACGGCGACCCCGUGGCCUCAUUGUCUCGCAGGUCCCCUCUGAGGUCAGAACCUGAGACCCGCCGUAGCCUGGAGGAGACACCUGUCCUCACCUCGCCGAGGUGUCUCGCAGGACCGCUGUAGGACAGGGCUCCCCACCUCACCAGUCCCCUGACAUCCCCUCCCCCGGGGACCCCGUGACACGCUCCUGACGCGGACAGUGCGUGACCGCGCGUCACGUGGUGGACCUGCCCGAGGGCUGUUCCAGGGUCGGGCCCCCUGUGGGGGUGGGGUGGUGGGUCGCACCCGGACGCUCCGCACGCGGUCUUCCAGGGUGAAGUCCUCGCUCGUGAACGCACAGCUCUGCCUUGUGUCUCAGGUGCUGCUGGAGCAGUCAUUGAAACAGCUUCUGGAUUCGGAGUAGCCUUUGCGAUUUGUGCUGAAAAUAGAGCCAAUUCACGCUGAAAAUAGAGCCAUUUUCCUAUGGGGUCCUGGCCUUUUCAUGCAGAAGUAGUAAACGUGAACUCCAAAGAGCCAAUUUUCUGUACUCUGCAAUCUACAAGAAUUUUCAUCCAAGGACAAAGCUAGUGCUGUUUUUCAACCCUAAUCUUUUUACCAAGAAUGAAACUGUUUAAAAAUUAAGAUGCCAACAGAUCACGAGGAGCCCUGUGGUCCCAGUCACAGGUCAUUUUGCCUGAAUGGGGGGAUUUGUUAUGUGAUACCUACUAUUCCCAGCCCAUUUUGUAGGUGUGUUGAAAAUUACACAGGAGCACGUUGUGAAGAGGUUUUUCUCCCAAGUUCCAGCAUCCAAACCAAAAAUAACCUGUUCGCAGCUUUUGUGGCCUUGGCUGUUCUAGUCACUCUCACCAUUGCAGCUCUCUACUUCCUUUGCAGGAAGGGCCACCUCCAGAGAGCCAGCUCUGCCCAGUGUGAUGUCAGUGUGGGAGAAAUGAGCAGGACCAGUGCCCAGCACAGUGAGUACAUUCAAAUCAAAAUGCUUAAAGACUUCCCUGAGGUUUUUGUUCCACAUAAGGAUUUGGAUUUGGGUCUGUCCAGAAACAUUAACCCUAAAAAUUUUUCCAUGGAUUUUGUGCUAGCACCAUUUUCGCAUGAAGAUAAUUUUUUUUCUUUUUAG